rnacentral:lncRNA from 1 species
AAUAAUAAAACUCUAGCAUGGAUAUGAUGCACAGUUGCUCUGCCUAAUUUUCAAAUUUGAGUUCUUUCUCUAGUUUAGAUAUAACUGUUAUAAUUUAAAGCUUGCCCUAAACCUGCACUUGUGGGAAGAGAACUUGAUCUAAAGUUUAAGUUGUUAACGGAUAUGAUAUGGGAAGGUUGAACUGCUGUUUAUCUGUUCCUAGAGAUGCUAGAAAACUGGAGAAUUUUAUCUUUGAAAAUCUUUAAAAUAACACAUGAUGAGUUCCUCUAUGAUGAGAGUUUAAAUUCCUACCACAGCCAUAUAUACAUGCUUGCUAGACUUUGAGCCACAUAUUUACUUUUUACUGCUUAUGAGCAUUGAGUGUGGUCAAGCUGUGUAGACCGUUAGGAGUUUGUCAUGUGGUUAAAUCAAGAUUCACUUGCACGUUCACUAACACAUGCUGCUUCUACUCCGGAAGUACACAUCCACAUAUAUCCACCCAUUUCCAUCUCCAGAACCACCCAAAAAUAUUCUACUCCUAAUCCGGGAGAGAAUAGCCAAAAACAUUCUCCUAUUUCUGUUUUCCCCUGUGAAAUAAAUGCUCAAGUUAUCUUGGUUACUACCACUUGCUAUAUUAUUUCAAGAGAUGAGUGCUCAUAAAAAAAAGAGAUACGAGGAAAUAAAAAGGGGUAAGUGCCCGGAACCUCGAAAGAAAGAAAAAGUGAGACGAGAGGUAAAAAUGGACAAGUGUCUGACAGUAGAAUUAGGGGUACAAGAUACCCACCUGAGAGAAAAGAAAAAAGAAAAUAUAGAGCAUCUCAUUCUCCUCGAAAGGUUUCAAAAGAGCAAGAAAGGUAUGUAUCCCCUCAAAAGAGCACAAGUAGAAUUAGACUUUCACCAUUGUCAUCACCAUACACCAUUCAUUCGCCACACAUGCACAUCUUGAUUUGACUUAUUGACUUGUUUUUCUGGAUCCAUGGUUUGACUAUGCAAUAAGUGUCUUGUAAGUAUGUAUUAGCUGUCUUCCACCUAUGAGCUCCAGAUAUCAAAACCUUAUUAGAGUAGGGUGAGAGAGAAGGCAAUGCCACUAUGCCUCAUACCAAAAAUACCACAUACUUUGAGAGAAGGCAUACACAAUUAUUGCCUUCAUAAGGAUCCAGAAAUACC